UACGUAGGGGGCAAGCGUUGUCCGGAAUCAUUGGGCGUAAAGAGCGUGUAGGCGGCCAGUAAAGUCCGCUGUGAAAACUCGAGGCUCAACUUCGAGCUGUCGGUGGAAACUUUCUGGCUAGAGUCCGGAAGAGGAGAAUGGAAUUCCUGGUGUAGCGGUGAAAUGCGCAGAUAUCUGGAGGAACACCGGUGGCGAAGGCGGCAUCCUGGACCGACACUGACGCUGAGGAGCGAAAGCCAGGGGAGCAAACGGG
rnacentral:rRNA from 1 species